CUGCAGGUGACACCGGCCAAGUGCUUCGACAGCUACCAGCGGGUGUGGUGGAUGGUCGCUCUGUUGCAGUCCCUCCUUCCUGACAGAAGAGCUUCUAAGACCCUUGGAAUCUUUGGCGUAAGAAGAGUGUCUUUUUUGUAUGCUGAUGCGAUGGCUGAUGGCUGGGGUCUUCACGAUAGCUUCAGGAUGGAGGUUGGUUGCCAGAAAGACCAAGGCAUGACAGGAGUGGACUCCAGACCAUGUCAAGACUGAAUUGAGUUGUAGGCAACCAGUUGGCAUCUGGAGAUUUGAAGAAUUGGUUGGUGUGGGGGAGGAAACCCCCCCAUCAUACAUUUCAUGUCAGAAGUGUCAUGAAU